rnacentral:rRNA from 1 species
UAUUUGCUAAUCCGACAUAUUGAGCGCUGGCGGCAGGCCUAACACAUGCAAGUCGAACGGUAACAGGAAGCAGUUUGGUGCUUUGCUGACGAGUGGCGGCCUGGUGAGUAAUGUCUGGGAAACUGCCGGAUGGAGGGGGAUAACUACUGGAAACGGUAGUUAAUACCGCAUAACGUCGCAAGAUCAAAGACGGGGACCUUAGGGCCUCUUGUCAUGGGAUGGGCCCAAAUGAGAAUGUCUCGUAGGUGCGGUACCGGCUCACCUAGGCUACGGUCCCUAGCUGAUCUAAGAGGAUCACCGGUCACGCUGGAACUGAUACAACGGUCAAGACUCCUCCGGAAGGCAGCAGUGGGGAAGAUUCUACGCUGGGCAUCGAGAUUGAUGCAGACAUGCCACGUCUAUGAAGAAGGCCUUCGGGUUGUAAAGUACUUUCAGCGGGGCGGAAGGGAGCAAAGUUAAUACCUUUUCUCGUUGACGUUACCCGCAGAAGAAGCCACGGCUAACUCCGUGCCAGAAGCUGCGACGAUACGGCGGGUGCAAGUGUCAAUCGGAAUUACUGGGCCUGAAGCGCACGCAGGCGGUUUGUUAAGUCAGGUGUCAAAUCCCCGGGCUCAACCGGGGGACUGCAUCUGCUACUCACAAGCUUACGUAUCGCAGAGAGGGGUGGAAUUCCAGGUGUACCCCUGUGAAAUGCGAAGAGAUCUGGAGGAAUUUCCGUGGCGAAGGCGGCCCCCUCAUCGAAGACUGACGCUCAGGUGCCGAAGCGUGGGGAGCAAACAGGGUUAGAUGCCCUGAUAGUCCAUGUUGUAAACGAUGUCGACUUGGAGGUUGUGCCCUUGCGGCGUGGCUUGCGGAGUUAACGUGUUAAGUUGACCGCCUGGGGAGUACGGCCCUAAGGUUAAAACUCAAAUGAAUUGAAGGGGGCCUGCACAAGCGGUGGAGGAUGUGAUUUAAUUCGAGGCAACGCUAAGAAACUUUCCUGGUCUUGACAUCCACAGAAGUUUUCAGAGAUGAGAAUGUGCCUUCGGGAAGUGUGAGAUAGGUGCUGCUUGGCUGUCAUCAGCUGGUGUUGUGAAAUGUUGGGUUAAAUCCCGAAACGAGCGCAACCCUUAUCCUUUGUUGCCAGCGGUCCGGCCGGGAACUCAAAGGAGUCUGCCAGUGAUAAACUGGAGGAAGGUGGGGAUGACGUCAAGUCAUCAUGGAACUUACGACCAGGGCUACACACGUGCUACAAUGGCGCAUAAGCAGAGAAGCGACCUCGCGAGAUCAAGCGCACCUCAUAAACUGCGUCGUAGUCCGGAUUCGAGUAUGCAACUCUACUCCAUGAAGUGGGAAUCGCUAGUAAGCGGGCGUG